CCAGUCUCGCUUAAGUAAAAUCCAACUAACAAUUGACCAUUUCACAGUGGACUCAAACGUACAUCAACAUCAAAGAGCCCCAGUAACUCACAACCAAGAAACUAACUGAGAUCCAUACCUCACAACCAAAACAUCAAAGAGUCAUCUAGUGCUACAGGGCAGGUUUACAACUAAACAAUUAAAAGAAUGUGAUAAAGGGAAGGACAAACUACUCUACACAUUCUGACAGUUCCCCAAAGACAUGAGUGACAUUUGUGAACAAGACAUAAACGUGGAUAAACUUAGUACUGACUUACAACACUGUAACAGUCCAAUAAUCCAACAUUACUUAUAACACAUAGGUGCAAACCCAAAGUCUGAAAAAGAAACAUGCUACAAACUAUAUAUAACUAACUACUCAUAAUGAUUAACGAGAAAAAUGUGUAGGAAUCGCAAGAAGACCAAUAGCCUCUGUUCGAAGGAACAAAAUAGCCAUUUCAGCUUGAUUUCAUAAAACUUCUGGUCUACAUUUACUCAGGGAUCAAACGUCUUAACAUACCUGAAAAUGUGAAGAAAACAACAACGAGAUAAUCAGAGAUCCAGCAUCAGUAACAAAUAACAGAGUGGAACUCAAAUCCAAUGGAACAGUGUACCAAAAACAGCUCAAACCCUAGAAAAUGCACUUUAGCAGACCAGAUUGCAGUGUCAAAUACACUUUCAAACAAGCAAACACCAAAACCUAGCCUUAAUGACUAAAUAUCAAGCCAUUUCGAAGUCCAAACCUUCAGGAAAUUGAUUUAAAAUGAGAAGGAUUUCAGAUUCUCAAGCUACAAUUCAAUGGAACAGUGUUUUUCCUAGAGGUUUCAGCCGUUGCAGAUUUUUUUCUUCUUUGGAUUCUUAGCUCUCCACUCCUUUUUUAAGUUUCUUUCUAUAUCUUAGGUCUUGGGUAUCCC
rnacentral:lncRNA from 1 species